rnacentral:rRNA from 1 species
UGAGGAAUAUUGGUCAAUGGGCGAGAGCCUGAACCAGCCAAGUCGCGUGAAGGAAGACAGUCCUAAGGAUUGUAAACUUCUUUUAUACGGGAAUAACGGGCGAUACGAGUAUUGCAUUGAAUGUACCGUAAGAAUAAGCAUCGGCUAACUCCGUGCCAGCAGCCGCGGUAAUACGGAGGAUGCGAGCGUUAUCCGGAUUUAUUGGGUUUAAAGGGUGCGUAGGUUGUUCGGUAAGUCAGCGGUGAAACCUGAGCGCUCAACGUUCAGCCUGCCGUUGAAACUGCCGGGCUGGAGUUCAGUGGCGGCAGGGGGAAUUCGUGGUGGAGCGGUGAAAUGCAUAGAUAUCACGAGGAACUCCGAUUGCGAAGGCAGCUUGCCAUACUGCGACGGACACUGAAGCACGAAGGCGUGGGUAUCAAACAGG